rnacentral:lncRNA from 1 species
UAUUUUGUGAAGAUGAGAGGGCACACGCGGAUGGUUGUGAUAUAGGUCAGCGCUGAGGUGUGGAGCUGCCAGGGACAUCAUGUAAGAAAGUCUAGAAUCUUCUAAUUAUUGGUGAAAUUGGGUCAAGAUAUUUUCUUUUAUUUCUAAGCACAUAUGUUUUUGAAAAUGUGAGAGACACGUGGAUUGUUGUGAUAUGGCUAGCGGUGAACUAGGGAAAGUGUGGAAGCGGCUAGGCACAUCAUAUGAGAGACUCUAGAAUCAUCCCAUGGUGAAAGAGGGGUACAUGUAAGUGUUUGUAAAAUGAGCCUGAGAUAAACACGAGAAAGUGUGGGAAAUAGAUGAAAGAGGUACACGU